AGUUAAGAGUGAAAGACCCCCGGAGUGGGGAGACCCUCACUCAAGUCUUGGGAUGACGAGACCCCCCAAGAACUCACGUAAGACC
rnacentral:pre_miRNA from 14 species